UCAGCAGGCCUCCUUGCCCCUCACAGUCCUCUCUCCAGCCCCGGCCACAACAUGCUGGUCCUGGUCCAGCUGUUGUGGCUGCUCUCAGCUCUCACGGGUUGCAAAAGUGCAGUGCAGCUGAUAGCCUCUGGAGGAGGCGUGAAAUACGAAGGGGAAUCUCUGCAUCUCUCAUGCCAGGCCUCAGGGUUCAACUUUGGGGACUUUAAUAUGUAUUGGUACCGGGAGGCUCCAGGAAAGUCCAUUGAGUUUGUCGCCACCAUCAAUGCUGGGGAUGGGAAUGUUAAAAGUUAUGCGGAUGCAGUGAGGGGACGAUUCACCAUCUCCAGGGACAACGCCAACAGCAAGCUGUACCUGCAGAUGAACAAUCUGAAAGUGGAGGACACUGCCCGGUAUUUCUGCACUCGACCCAGUGAGGGGAAACAGGUGGGGCCCAGACAUAAAUCCCUCUACUCCUCCCAUACCAAAGGCCAGGAAGCUACUGGGGCAGCCGUUGCCACCGCUGAACAAAAGCAUAAGAGAGGAAGUAGAGGAAACCAGAAAUCUCCCUUUUUCUGCUACCUGCCUCCAGGCUCAAGCUCACUGGUACAGAAGUGAUACCCAAGCCACUUCCUCCAUGGAGCUGACCCCAGUUCUUUCCCCAAACCUGGAUGCCCUGAGACCCCACCCGUGGAUUCUCUGCUGCCACAAAACAGCUCAGGCGGCCACAAAAAUCUUCCUCACUCCUUCUGCUCGCUCCCUGUUCCAUCCCCAUUGCCCAAGAUUUUAAGUGCCUUGUGGGCAGGGACUAUGUGCAGUUUGUAUGUGUUUGUAAAUUACCAAGUGCCCGGUGUAGCUCUAUGGACUACUGAAGAUAUUUCACAAGAUCUCAGAGAUGACACCAUCAUCACCAUCUUUAAGAAGAAAGAGUAAACAUCAGAUUGCAACAAUUAUUGAGGGGCCUCACUGUUGUCCCUGCUUGCAUGGUCCAAGCCAGAGAAUAGUGUCAACUGGAUGCUUUCGGACUCCCAAUAUGGCUUCAGACCACAGCAUGGCAGAACGGAUGUGACCUUUGCUGCGCAUCGGAUACAGGAGAAGUGCAGGGAACAUCUGCAGGACCUUACCAAAACAUUUGAUACAAUCAGCACAUCUGGUCUCUGGAAACCACUAAGCAAAUUUAACUGUCCAGUAAACUUCAUCGAGAUUCUGAGGCUGCUUCAUGAGGGUAUGGCUGUCCUGAUCAGAGCUGAGGGAGUCCUGUCUGAUCCAUUCCUUAUUGCCAGUGGAGUAAAGAAGAGGUGUGUAGUGGACCUGGUCCUAUUCCACCUGUUCUAUGCAGCCAUGUGGAGGAUGCAACGAAAAGACGCAGAGGUUAGAGUAUGCUUUCACAUAUCUGGAAAAGUCUUCCAACUCAACAGACUUCAAGCAUCAUCCAAAGUCUUGUAAACAGUCCUUUAAGAAUGGCUCUACAGCUAGGAGCUUUUCUAUGACUGUGAGACCUGGUCCCCUACAGGCAGCACAUUUUGAGUAGUUCUAUCAAUGUCAUAGACUAUGCACAAUAUUAAAUGGCAAGUUAAUAUCAUGAA